GAUUCCCCUAGUAACUGCGAGUGAAGCGGGAAAAGCUCAAAUUUAAAAUCUGGCGGUCCUUGGCNNNCCGAGUUGUAAUCUAGAGAAGUGUUACCCGCGUCGGACCGUGUACAAGUCUCCUGGAAUGGAGCGUCAUAGAGGGUGAGAAUCCCGUCUUUGACACGGACUACCGAGGCUUUGUGGUGCGCUCUCAAAGAGUCGAGUUGUUUGGGAAUGCAGCUCAAAAUGGGUGGUAAAUUCCAUCUAAAGCUAAAUAUUGGCGAGAGACCGAUAGCGAACAAGUACCGUGAGGGAAAGAUGAAAAGAACUUUGGAAAGAGAGUUAAACAGUACGUGAAAUUGCUGAAAGGGAAACGCUUGAAGUCAGUCGCGUCGUCCGGGAAUCAGCCUUCCUUCUGGUUGGUGUACUUCCUGGUGGACGGGCCAGCAUCAGUUUUGACCGGUGGAAAAAGUUCGAGGGAAUGUGGCACCUCCGGGUGUGUUAUAGCCCUCGUUCGUAUACAUCGGUUGGGACUGAGGAACUCAGCACGCCGCAAGGCCGGGAUUCGUCCACGUUCGUGCUUAGGAUGCUGGCAUAAUGGCUUUAAUCGACCCGUCUUGAAACACGGACCAAGGAGUCUAACAUGCCUGCGAGUGUUUGGGUGGAAAACCCGAGCGCGUAAUGAAAGUGAAAGUUGAGAUCCCUGUCAUGGGGAGCAUCGACGCCCGGACCAGACGUUCUCUGACGGUUCUGCGGUAGAGCAUGUAUGUUGGGACCCGAAAGAUGGUGAACUAUGCCUGAAUAGGGUGAAGCCAGAGGAAACUCUGGUGGAGGCUCGUAGC
rnacentral:rRNA from 1 species